GAUGAACGCUAGCGGGAGGCUUAACACAUGCAAGUCGAGGGGCAGCACGUCUUCGGAUGGUGGCGACCGGCGCACGGGUGCGUAGCGCGUAUGCAACUUACCUUAUGCAGGGGGAUAGCCCGGGGAAACCCGGAUUAAUAUUCCAUAGAUCAGUAGUAUCGCAUGGUACAAUUGGUAAAGAUUUAUCGGCAUAAGAUAGGCAUGCGUCUGAUUAGCUAGUUGGUAGGGUAACGGCCUACCAAGGCGACGAUCAGUAGGGGUUCUGAGAGGAUAAUCCCCCACACUGGUACUGAGACACGGACCAGACUCCUACGGGAGGCAGCAGUGAGGAAUAUUGGUCAAUGGGCGCAAGCCUGAACCAGCCAUCCCGCGUGAAGGAAGGAGGUCCUAUGGAUUGUAAACUUCUUUUAUACGGGAAAAAACCUCCCUACGUGUAGGGAGCUGAUGGUACUGUAAGAAUAAGGAUCGGCUAACUCCGUGCCAGCAGCCGCCGUAAGAC
rnacentral:rRNA from 1 species